UGGUGGAGUGAUUUGUCUGGUUAAUUCCGAUAACGAACGAGACCUUAACCUGCUAACUAGUCCAGUUCUGAACAAGGGCUGUGACUUCUUAGAGGGACUAUCUGCGUAAGCAGAUGGAAGUUUGAGGCAAUAACA
rnacentral:rRNA from 1 species